CGCCUCCUGCCACCUAUAGGAGGUCCAGCCUGCCCAGUGACCUAGUUUAACGGCCGCGGUAUCCUAACCGUGCGAAGGUAGCGUAAUCACCUGUUUUUUAAUUGAAGACCUGUAUGAAAGGCAUCACGAGAAUCGUACUGUCUCCUUUUUCUAAUCAGUGAAACUAAUCUUCCCGUGAAAAAGCGGGAAUACUAAUACAAGACGAGAAGACCCUUUGGAGCUUAAGACAAAGUAACGUUUUGCAUCCCCUACUUAAACCUAUCUCUCUAAGCAUCUACAUUACAAGUCUUCGGUUGGGGCAACCGCGGAGUAAAACUCACCCUCCAAGCUGAAUGGAAUUUUCCUAAGCAAAAAGCCACACCUUUAUGCAUCAACAAAUUGACAAUAUGACCCAAUAUUUUGAUUAUCGAACCAAGUUACCCCAGGGAUAACAGCGCAAUCCACUUCGAGAGUUCAUAUCGACAAGUGGGCUUACGACCUCGAUGUUGGAUCAUGGUACCCCAGUGGUGCAGCCGCUACUAAUGGUUCGUUUGUUCAACG
rnacentral:rRNA from 1 species